AAGCGAAAGCAUUAAGUAUUCCACGUGGGGAGUACGCCGGCAACGGUGAAACUCAAAGGAAUUGACGGGGGCCCGCACAAGCGGAGGAACAUGUGGUUUAAUUCGAUGAUACGCGAGGAACCUUACCCGGGCUUAAAUUGCACCUGAAUAAUGUGGAAACAUGUUAGCCGUAAGGCAGGUGUGAAGGUGCUGCAUGGUUGUCGUCAGCUCGUGCCGUGAGGUGUCGGCUUAAGUGCCAUAACGAGCGCAACCCUUAUCUUCAGUUACUAACAGGUCAUGCUGAGGACUCUGGAGAGACUGCCGUCGUAAGAUGUGAGGAAGGUGGGGAUGACGUCAAAUCAGCACGGCCCUUACGUCCGGGGCUACACACGUGUUACAAUGGGAGGUACAGAAGGCCGCUACCUGGCGACAGGAUGCCAAUCCCCAAAACCUCUCUCAGUUCGGAUCGAAGUCUGCAACCCGACUUCGUGAAGCUGGAUUCGCUAGUAAUCGCGCAUCAGCCAUGGCGCGGUGAAUACGUUCCCGGGCCUUGCACACACCGCCCGUC
rnacentral:rRNA from 1 species